rnacentral:rRNA from 1 species
GAGUGAACGCUGGCGGUAGGCCUAACCCCUGCAAGUCGAACGGCAGCCCAGUAAGAGCUUGCUCUUACGGGUGGCGAGUGGCGGACGGGUGAGGAAUACAUCGGAAUCUACUUUUUCGUGGGGGAUAACGUAGGGAAACUUACGCUAAUACCGCAUACGACCUACGGGUGAAAGCAGGGGAUCUUCGGACCUUGCGCGAUUGAAUGAGCCGAUGUCGGAUUAGCUAGUUGGCGGGGUAAAGGCCCACCAAGGCGACGAUCCGUAGCUGGUCUGAGAGGAUGAUCAGCCACACUGGAACUGAGACACGGUCCAGACUCCUACGGGAGGCAGCAGUGGGGAAUAUUGGACAAUGGGCGCAAGCCUGAUCCAGCCAUACCGCGUGGGUGAAGAAGGCCUUCGGGUUGUAAAGCCCUUUUGUUGGGAAAGAAAAGCAGCAGGUUAAUACCCCGCUGUUCUGACGGUACCCAAAGAAUAAGCACCGGCUAACUUCGUG